ACAUUGAAUGCAGAAAAUAAAGCUUCUUUUGCAAUCUCAUCUGCUCUUCGAUUUUUAUCUCUAGGAACAAAACAGAAUCUGAUAAAAUCAAAAGUUAAAGAUAGGGAGAGGAUGUCGUGGAGAAUCCCGUAGAGCUCCUUCGAUUGAAGCUCCAAAUUUAGUGCUUUGAUCAGCUGUUGCGAAUCUGAAGCAAGCGAAAGUUUUUUGUAACCAAGAUCUCUGGCUUGAUGGAUCGCGUGAAGCAUCGCCAGCGCCUCUGCCAUUAACGGAGAUCGAACGUUGGAAGCAGAAGAUCUACCAUGGCGCUCUGUGUUACAGAGGAAAUCAGAGAAGUGCCAACCAAAUCCCGCCUCUUUUGUCUCAGCUUUCCAAGCGGCGUCUGUGAACCCUCGGAUUGUAUCUAAUCCAAUCUCUUCGAUCUGGUACGGGAGUCGUAAUUGAGGAGAUUGGGGUGAUACAAGUUGAGAAGCACACCAUUCCCGAGCUUGGGAAACAGCCUGAGCCACCGCUUCGAAGUUUGUAAUUUGUCUCUUCUCAAAGAUGCGCUUAUUUCGGGAGAUCCAAAUCGUCCAUAGUAUCCAUGGCAAAAGGGGGACGUCUCCGAGUCCUGUAGGAGGCAAAUUGGUCAGGAGCUUCGAAGUUUCUAGACCUUUCCUCAGCGACGUGAUUUGGGAAGAGCAGAAUGAAGUCUUGAAGGGAGAUUUGUCCCAAAUUGAGCUUGCGAAGCUGCAAUGAAAAAACAGAUCUCUCGGAGCCAGUCGAACUCAACAACUGGAGGGUUUAGAAGCGGCCUCUCCUCCCGCAAGUUCGCAACAAGAUAGCCUGUCUUUGCAGAAUAUUCUCCGGACUUGGUAACAACAAUUGAAUUAUCUCUUUAAUCCAGGAGUUAGAAGAAGGACAUAUAAGGUCUGCCACUGUUAGUUCCUGAGAGAACUGAGUUGCUGGUCCCAUUGGGGUGACUGGUUUAGAAAGGGAGAUCCAUGGUUCUUGCCAAAUCUUAGAGUCUUUGCCAGUGCCAAUAGCUCUGCCAAGCUGAGUCUUAAGCAGAUCUCUUCCAAGACAUAUUCCACGCCACCCAUGCGAUGCAUUAUUGGAAACUUUGCAGUCUAGGAAGGAUGAUGAUUGGCAGUAUUUACCAAGGAGAACCUUUGCCAACAUAGAUGAAGGUUUAGUGAGUAGUCUCCAGCUCACUUUGGCUAGUAAAGCAUCAUUGAAACUAGGGAAGAGUCCCACCAGAAACGUGUUAGAGCUGAUUGGAUGCGUUUGCAGAGAGAACCCGGGAGCUUGAAACAUGACAUUGUAUAGGUGGGCAUUGCCACUAGGACUGCUUUUAACAUGGUUGCUUUUCCUGCAGUGGAGAGAAACCUAGAAGACCAGCUCUUAGCUCUCUGUCUUAUGCGGUCGAUGAUGAAAUUAAACAUAUCCUUCUUCUUUCUGCCAAACAGCUCAGGAUUAGCAUAAGGUUCUGACAGCUUUGGACAUCGAAUUUACAGAAGAACAUAGUGUCAUCUGCAAAGAGUAGAUGUUUUAAUCGGGGACUGCCUUUUGCCACUCUUACACCAAACGUUUGUUGGGUUGGCGAACAAGAACAUUUCUCCACGUUAUUGAUGUACGAAUCUCCAUCUGGUCGAUGAAACUCUUUCCACAAAUCAGCAACCUGAUUUUUCUUGAAGAACAAGAAAGUGAAUUUUCCGAGGGUGAAAAGACACAUUAUGAAAGCAACAACAAACAAAAGCCAGAAACUGUCUACACCGAGCUGCCUAGAUGAUGUUGACGGAUUUGGAUCUGGAGUUGUGACUGGAUCCGGGCAAGUUUCAUCUUUAUUUUUGAAAUAUUUGAGAUCAAGAUCCUUUGCUUUGGAUGAUUCCGCCACUUUUAGGAUGGCCCUUGAUACAUCAGCAACCAGUGGUGACCCAAUUGGAAAAACCUGCGAAAAACGAACAUAUGAUCUUAGCAUUUAUUUUAGAGCUAUUCUUAGAACAAUUUCGUUAUGGGAACUCACGAAACCGAAUCCAUCAACGCUAAAGGGUUCUUCAACCAUUUGAUAAUCUUUGCAGUAUUGUCCAAGAAAGAGCCUCAGGUAGGGUACUUCCAUGAAAGCUGCAGAGAUACCGCCUUUCUUUGGUCCUUUUCUCAAAAGCUUGUCGCAAUCUUCCGCGCUAUCAAAGGGUAUGAGGCUGGAUGAAGUGAAACCUGAUUCUUUAAGUUUUCCAAAGAUGAAUGAUGUCCUUGGUUAUCCCACAUUUUCUCCUUUCUCGAGCAAACUUCUCAUGCUGGUUACGGUUGGAUCAAGUUGUCGUGAUGUCAAAAGGGACGCCAAGCUGGCUGUGUAACUUUGAGUCAACACGAGCACAAUAAAGUACCAUGUGAUAACCAGAAGCCUAGCUCCAAAGCUGAACACUCUUUCUCCUGCAAGUUGCAUAUUAAUAGAGUAAGCAUUAAGGAAAGAAGUAUUUUUUUAACACUCACUAUAUGUUGAGAUAUGGAAAGGGAAUUUACUUGGAGCAAAAACCAUGGUAGAAAAGGCAAACCAGAAGAUUGUACUAACUUGGUACUUAGCUGGUCCGCGAAAGUCCGGAUUAAUCCUAUGUUCAAUAACCCAAACAGUAAAACCAAUGAGGAAGAAGAAGAAAAAGGAAGUCAUCCAAAGUUUCCAUGUUAAGGGCUUCAAGAAACUGAUACUGUCUCUUGCCACUUGGUCUUCUACGGGGACAAUCAAUCCCACACCAGAUUUAGUAAAUGGAAUGUGAAGUCGACAUAAGAGGACCUAUUUGCCAAUAUAGUCGUAUCUCCCACAACCGCGUCAUAAUUCUGCGAUAGAGACAAAAAAAUGUAAAAGGAGAUUCAAUUAGGGACCUCACUAGGAUAAUCUCUCUAAAUGGGAGUGUGUUGGGAAUGCAUGGAUGGUCUAACUCACCCCAAGGUAAACUUGGUAGAUUAGAUCGUUGUGAUUUCCGGCUGGUUUACCGUCCGAUGUUUCAAAAGGAAAGAAAUCAUAGGAGAUGUCAUAAGGCAUUUUUUGGAUCACAGCUUCAAAGAAAGCUAUGCAAAAACCUUUGACUUCUUGUGAAUUCGUGGUAGGAUCCAUGGUGACCUCCACAAGAUCGGUGUAACCAGUUCUUUUUGGAACUCCAAUGCGCAACCUCUUCCCGUUCGUUGGGAUCUCCCAUCCUUUGGGAACAUAGUUAGCCUCUCCGGGCCAUAUUAUCUGCUUAAGAUGAUCUUGCCAAGUGGAUAACGCACCCGUGUUUUGCGGCUCUUGGUCUAAUUUCUUCACAAGACCAUUUUCUUCCGUCCAAAAUCCUAUUGACCUUUCUCUGGUUCCAAUCACAUUAACUAUCUCAAACACCCAUGGUUGUAGUUGUCCUUCGACAAAACGGAAAUCUCCUGCAAGUCCUUUCAACCGAACUGUUGUGAGUGUCUUGCGAAGUCUUGGACCGUAUUGAGAAAAACCAAGAGCUUCAAGUUCAGACACAUUCUUUCUGAACUCCACAUUACUAAAAGUCAUGUUAUCUGUUCCAGCUUCUUCAAUAGCUAUUGCCAAUGCGAUGGUAGCAUCAUAAGCCCACAAUCCAUAGACAUUCAGGUCCAUCCCUGGGAACUUCUUCCUCCAACAAGCUCUAAACUUUUCGAGGUCAUUUGAUUUCCGAAUAUAAGUUUUAACACCCAAUACCCCUUCCAUAGCCUCAAUACCCGCCUCAUCUACCAAACUUAACUCAUCGGUUACUCCACUGGUAAGGAUCCAAACAUAUCCUGGUUUCAUCAAACCAAUCUUCUUAAUUUUAGUAAAGACUCUUGAGGCAAGAGAAGAGGGCAUGUGGACGAUAAAAACUCUUGUGGGCAUGGUCAUCAUCUUAGAAAGCUCUAGAGAGAUUUCAUAAUCAGUGGCAUUGAGAGAGAUAACAUAUCUGUAUGAUAUUCGAACGUUAAUCUCUUGUAAUGCAUCAGUAAGAUGUGGCAUAAUACCUUCUCCAAAUGAGUUGUCGAUGUAAACAAGCACGACUUCUCUCCACCCAAACAACUUGAUGAUAGAUUUUAUGGCCUUUACUUGAAAGGAGUCCUCAUAUGUAGCACGGAAAAAGUAUGGACUGCGUAGAGAAGUAAGAAACGGACUUGUUGCAGAGUAAGAAACAAUCGGCACCCGAGAUUUUUGUCCAAUAUCAAUCAUAAAAUGAGCUUGCAUGGAUGUCCAAGGCCCCAAAAUCGCUACCACGUGCUUGUUCUUUAUCAGCUUAAGAGCUGUUACAACAUCAAAACAAAUAAAACAUUGGCUGAGUAGGAGAUAAUAUAGAAACAACAAUGUUUGACUUUAGUAAAACAUGAUACAAAAUAACAUUUUGAGAACUAUAAUUAAUUCAAUAAGCUUAUAGCAAUGAACGCGCGCAACCUACAAUAUAAAUUUCAAAAAAUCUUGUAUCCACUGUCUGUAAAAUAUCUAAGUUUAGGGAAUUCACUCUGAUAAUAGGCUAAAACAAUUUAGGUUUUCACAAACCUAAGAUAGAUCAAGACCUACAACCAAAAUCAAUAAUGAUAAUGGAAACCGAUAGUGAUUUCAAAAGAAAGAAAAGCCAAUAAUAAUGUAAACUUUUUAAAUAUAUAUAUACUCCAUAUGUUCAAAAUAUAAAAUGUUUUAGUUAAAAUCAAGCAUAAUUUUUUUAACAAAACCUCUCAUUUUUUUUGUAUAUAUCAUUAGAUCGACAAGAUCCAAUCCGUAACCAAUCCCUAAUACGAGGGAUAACGAGACUUAGUGGAGUCAAACUCCGGUGAGGUGGAGUCGAAU
rnacentral:lncRNA from 1 species